rnacentral:lncRNA from 1 species
UUCCAUUUAAGUGAGGCCACUUGACCAGUUCUCCCCAGUGGGAUGUGAAUGGCAGCGAUGCAUCCUUUGUGAGCUGAGGCUUUUAAGAAGCUGGUGAGGCUUCCUAUGCUUUCUUUCUGCUUCUGCUGGCUAGAAACAAAGGACACUGAGGCCCUCGGGGGAUGGUAGAGCCACAGGAAGCACCCCGGGUCCUUAAAUCAACAUGCGGAGGAAAGCCAACGGCCAGCCAUGGAUACUUGCAUUGGACUUUUAAGUGAAUGAGAGUUCCUCACAGUUGAGCAAGGC